GUCGGCAAUGAAAUCGAAAAGAAGGAAAGAAAAGGGAAAAAGAAGCAAUAAAAAAGAGGAAAGAAACGAUAAAAGGAAGGGCGAAGCAGAAAAUGCAUAUAACUGCAGAAUCGUGUUGAACGCAGCGGAAUAACGCGGUUUCCAACUUGGACGUUUGAACGUUUCCUAAUCCGAUUAGCGCAAAAACUGCAUCCCAUUGCAAUGGAGCAUUGGCGUUACGAACCGCGUGGCGUCUCUCUGCGCGAAAUCGUGUACCACGCAGCCUGCACCGCCUGAAACUCGGCUGUACGCAGACUGCACGCAGACUGCACGCAGACUGCACGCAAGCAAGCCGCGCGGUUCAUUUCUCAAGCUAAACGCAUUUAUCGGUGAUGCACCGAGGGAGAAAAUCAGAGCCCUCCGCCUCUCGCCGCCGACGUCGUACAGCCAUUGUCCUCGCGUACGCGUCGCCGUUGUGUUAGAGAAUGCCGUGGCGAGGUGCCGAGCAAGGGGCUGCGUCGGAGGGUUCGGAGUGGAAGGACAGGGAAUAGAGGGUUGCACGCCAUUCCUUCGACAUUACGUCAUACGUCGAUUCUCUGGGGAUUCCCACGGCGUCAACCCACGCCGAGAAACUUCGUCGACCGCAUUCAGCAGGAUACCGAGUUUUCUAUUUGCUUUCAUCUGGCAAGAGUUCUCUAUUGGUUACCUAUUAGAAGAUGGAAGAGCUCGCGGUGUUUGUGUACGCGAAGAAAGUAGGUUUGUCGGUAGCGUGUAAUAUGUACGAAGAAAAUGAAAGUUACGAGAUCGAUUCGCGUUGAACGGAAAAAGGGAAUCGAAAAAAGGGAAACGAAUUCCACGCGUUCGACGCUGGCAAUCGUCCGAUAAGAGCCAUCCUCCUGUAAUCGUUUUUCCACGUUCCAACCGAAUCGUCGCUGGGUGAAGAAGUUUAAACAAAAAACAAAGGAGAGCGGGAGGAGAAAGGGAAACUGUGAAAAAGGGAACAAAUAAUGGAAAUGGUGUCUCGCUUAGGGGUAAUCGUCGUCGCGUGCUCGCAGAGUAAAAAUGGGGCUGCCGCGGCUGAUUAAUCAUCGGCAAUCUCGCGAGAGCGCGUCGAAAGGACGCGGCCAUUAAAGGCAAACGACGAGAACUUCGUCACCGGUCGGCGUUCGACGAUCGUGUUCCGGGGUUGAACGAGUUAUUUUUUUUUUUUCUCUCCCUUCGCGCGACGAUACGUGGCAGAAGGAGAAACAGAGACGAACGAGUAAUUUAAUUGAAAUUCCCCAACCGUGCCCUCACCAGCGGUGGCGCAGAAAUUGUGGAAAAAUCGAGUCAUACGAUCGCCGGGGCUGCGUGAAAAUGGAAUUACGGCGGAGAAACGAGGUUUGUCCGAUGAUGCAGGUGAACGCCGGUUUCACGAGGGAUCGAGCAACCGAACGUACAAAGGGAUGAAAAAACAUAGACUCGUCAGUCCGCGGAAAGAUCGAGGGUUUAUAGGGACAAAAUUUUUUUACCUUUAAAUUUCCACGUAAAUUAGCCUUGCAAAAUUACUCUCAAUUACUCUACGCGAUGCUCGCGAGUGCGAGAACUCGUUCGAUACCAACCAUCGUGCGUAUGCAGAGCGUUCUGGCUGCCUGGCCUCGAGCAGCAAGCGCAACUCGACUGAAAGAUAUCCUAUCUACAGCGUACGUACGAGUUUGCCAUACGUGUGU
rnacentral:misc_RNA from 1 species